UGAGGAAUUUUGCGCAAUGGGCGAAAGCCUGACGCAGCGACGCCGCGUGAACGAUGAAGUCCUUCGGGAUGUAAAGUUCUGUCAGCAGGGACAAUGAUGAUGGUACCUGCAGAGGAAGGCCAGGCAAACUAUGUGCCAGCAGCCGCGGUAAUACAGAGGUCCCAAGCGUUGUUCGGAUUCACUGGGCGUAAAGGGUGCGUAGGUGUCGGGGUAAGUCGGAUGUGAAAUCUCGGAGCUCAACUCCGAAAUGGCAUUGGAAACUACCCUGCUCGAGGAUUGGAGGGGUGACUGGAAUACUUGGUGUAGCAGUGAAAUGCGUAGAUAUCAAGUGGAACACCAGUGGCGAAGGCGAGUCCCUGUACAACUCCUGACACUGAGGCACGAAAGCUAGGGGAGCAAACA
rnacentral:rRNA from 1 species